rnacentral:lncRNA from 1 species
GUAGUACAUAUGAACAACAAUGAGGCUUUUAUUCUGAUCAUACAUAGAAAGCGCCAAACAGCUCUUUUACAUAACACGUUAAACUUUUUGACAUGCAUGUUACAGACAGCUAAAAGCUCAAGCUAUUAACAUUAACAGUGUUUCAUCACUUCUAUAUAGUAACUAAACAGUGUUUUUUUUUGUUGACCUAGUGAAACGAAAAGACAUAGCUUUGGGGAGUUAUUUUCUCACAGUUAAAAACCAUUCAUGCCCUAAAGACAUUAUCGGUUGUUGCUCCUUGUUGACUACCUGGAUGUACCUUGUUCUUUCCCACACCAGAACUACUCACCUUUCUCUCUUCAGCACUCACCUCGCCUCUUCGUACUCUUUCCUCUUCCAUUCUCUUCAUCUUCUCCUUCUGCCUCUUCUCCAUAACGUAAAUUUCAGCUGAACGUGCUCCAAUGGAAGACAUGUUAAUUAUACUGUCUGCAAAAACAAGAAGCUAAACACAAAAGAGUCUGCUAAUUAUUACUCAGAAAUAGAUGCUCUGUGAAAUGAGCAUUGCCAAAGACGGUAUUUAUAGGAGUUGAAAUUGGAAGCGAGAGCAUGUGAAGUGAGUAGUCACGUUCAUUUCUCUAAUGUCCUUGUGGUUGUGGCGUUGCUUUUCAACCAACCAAAUGAGCAAUAAUUAUCUUAAUUACACACGCACACUAAAAUAAUAUAAUGCCAAGCUGUCAUCAUACUUUGCAUGGAAAGAAGUUUUGGUCCGCGCACCAUUUUGAUGUGUUCUGAACUUUGUAAGUAUAAG